UUGUCAGCAUAGCUCAGACGGUAGAGCAUGAGACUCUUAAUCUCAGGGUUGUGGGUUCGAGCCCCAUGUUGGGCAAA